CAGAAUCGGUAGGGGAGCUUCCCAUGGGCGGAGAAGCCGGAGGGCGACCGACGGUGGAGCGCAUGGGAGUGAGAAUGCUGGCAUGAGUAGCGAGAGACGAGAGAGUAACUCGUCCGCCGUGAACCCGAGGUUUCCUGGGCAAGGCUAAUCCUCCCAGGGUCAGUCGGGGGCUAAGGCGAGGCCGGGAGGCGUAGCCGACGCGCAGCAGGCAGACAUUCCUGCACCGCGCACGCGGCGCUACGACCGACGGGGCGACGGAUGGGGGUGGCUCGGCGGGGUUCUGGACGUCCCCGUGAUGGAGCGCGGCCCGCGGACCAGGGAAAUCCGGUCCGCAUCGAGGGCGAGGCUCCGGACGAAGCGACUGAGCGAAGCGAGUGAGCCCGAGGUCCCUAGAAAAACCCCUAGGCAGGCGCGUGCGCGCCCGUACCGCAAACCGACACAGGUGGGUGGGUAGAACAUACCGAGGCGAUCGGGUCAACCAUGGUCAAGGAACUCGGCACAAUGGCCCCGUAACUUCGGGAGAAGGGGUGCCCGCGCGUACGUGAACCGGCUUGCCCGGGGAGCGGAGGCGGGCCGCAGUGGAGAGGCCCAAGCGACUGUUUACCAAAAACACAGGACUCUGCAGAAGCCGCAAGGCGACGUAUAGGGUCUGACGCCUGCCCGGUGCCGGAAGGUCACGCGGAGGAGUUAGCCGCAAGGCGAAGCCCCGAAGCCAAGCCCCGGUAAACGGCGGCCGUAACUAUAACGGUCCUAAGGUAGCGAAAUUCCUUGUCGGGUAAGUUCCGACCCGCACGAAUGGCGUAACGACUUGGGCACUGUCUCAACAAGGGACCCGGCGAAAUUGUAGUAUGUGUGAAGAUGCACAUUACCCGCGAUAGGACGGAAAGACCCCGUAGAGCUUUACUGUAGCCUGGUAUUGGAUUUUGGUAACGUAUGUACAGAAUAGGUGGGAGACGGAGAAGCGAGGACGCCAGUUCUCGUGGAGUCGCCUUUGGGAUACCACUCUUAUGUUACCGGGGUUCUAACGAGCGGCCGUGAACCGGCGUUCAGACAGUGCCAGGUGGGCAGUUUGACUGGGGCGGUCGCCUCCGAAAGGGUAUCGGAGGCGCUCAAAGGUUCCCUCAGAAUGGUCGGAAACCAUUCGAAGAGUGCAAAGGCAGAAGGGAGCUUGACUGCGACACCGACGGGUGGAGCAGGUACGAAAGUAGGGCUUAGUGAUCCGGUGGUAUUAAGUGGGAAUGCCAUCGCUCAACGGAUAAAAGCUACCCUGGGGAUAACAGGCUUAUCUCCCCCAAGAGUCCACAUCGACGGGGAGGUUUGGCACCUCGAUGUCGGCUCAUCGCAUCCUGGGGCUGUAUUCGGUCCCAAGGGAAUGGG
rnacentral:rRNA from 1 species